rnacentral:rRNA from 1 species
AGUGAACGCUGGCGGUAGGCCUGACACAUGCAAGUCGAACGGCAGCACAGUAAGAGCUUGCUCUUACGGGUGGCGAGUGGCGGACGGGUGAGGAAUACAUCGGAAUCUACUUUUUCGUGGGGGAUAACGUAGGGAAACUUACGCUAAUACCGCAUACGACCUACGGGUGAAAGCAGGGGAUCUUCGGACCUUGCGCGAUUGAAUGAGCCGAUGUCGGAUUAGCUAGUUGGCGGGGUAAAGGCCCACCAAGGCGACGAUCCGUAGCUGGUCUGAGAGGAUGAUCAGCCACACUGGAACUGAGACACGGUCCAGACUCCUACGGGAGGCAGCAGUGGGGAAUAUUGGACAAUGGGCGCAAGCCUGAUCCAGCCAUACCGCGUGGGCGAAGAAGGCCUUCGGGUUGUAAAGCCCUUUUGUUGGGAAAGAAAAGCAGCAGGUUAAUACCCCGCUGUUCUGACGGUACCCAAAGAAUAAGCACCGGCUAACUUCGUG